UGGCCACAGCCGUCGUCCGUCUCUAUUUGUUCGACAAGAGAUAAAUAUACUAACAGUUACUAAAGUUGAGUGUAAAGCACACUAUGGUCACUGAACUUCACAAUACGCUUAAUACGGUCAUUGAAUACGAGUUGUGAUGAUUAUACGGUCAUUGGUUCAUCGUAGAGCUCCGUAUUUUGUCCGUUCACUGGUCAAAAUAGUCUUUGACCCUCCCACCUCUCCCCAACAUCGUUCCCUCGUGCACGCCGCCGACGCCGCCCAGCGC
rnacentral:lncRNA from 1 species